UAUACAGAUGCAACUCGGGGUGCGCCGGGCAAACAUGUGUACGAGAACAAACAAGUGUACGAGAGAACGAGCAAAGGAACCAUACCAUCAAGGGAAGCGGGAAGUUAUGGCUUAGAAGCUGGAUCAGCAGCAGUGCCAGGAAAGUCUCUCGGAACAGACCCAACAAGUGGUGUUGCCAGAGAUAGAUGAGAAAGAGAAGGAUCCGAGGCAGGAAAAGAAUCCGGGGAGUAUUAAUAAGAAUGACACUAAAGCAUAAUCAUUAGAGCCAGAGUAUGAUGAGCCGGGGGUUCAGCUGUUCCUAGGCAAUAAACUAGUAGUUUCAGAGUCCUGAGUCCAGAGCCAUAACAGUGUUUUUCACCAUACAUAGGUGGAGGAGCCUAAUUACGUUAAUGUCAGCAGCUUGUGUCAUCCGAAGAAGUAGUUCGAAAGCUAGAGUGAAGAGUGAAAUGUUACUAAUUCGUCCGUCUUCAGCAGCCCUUAAGUAAAUUGCUGUAAGUACUGAGCUGAUCCUAGUAGGGGUGCCGCGCCUAGUAAAGGUCCCUAGCCUAUAAGUAAACUCUAUUCUCUAGUUCAAUACCGGUUUACCCUUCUGAAAGUAGUAGUCCAAGUAGUAGUGCUAUUGAAUCAGUAGUAGUAGCAAGAGAUGGGCAAGAUCAGAGGGAU
rnacentral:lncRNA from 1 species